CAGUAGCCGCGGUAACACGUAGGGUGCAAGCGUUAAUCGGAAUUACUGGGCGUAAAGCGUGCGCAGGCGGUUAUAUAAGACAGAUGUGAAAUCCCCGGGCUCAACCUGGGAACUGCAUUUGUGACUGUAUAGCUAGAGUACGGCAGAGGGGGAUGGAAUUCCGCGUGUAGCAGUGAAAUGCGUAGAUAUGCGGAGGAACACCGAUGGCGAAGGCAAUCCCCUGGGCCUGUACUGACGCUCAUGCACGAAAGCGUGGGGAGCAAACAGGAUUAGAUACCCCCGUAGUCCCUGUCUUUUAUAC
rnacentral:rRNA from 1 species